UUAACUGAAUUUAGACAGUAAUGUAUUCAGAAAGGAAUAUUUAAGUGACAUAAAAUGUAUAUAAACACGUUAAAUAUGUCAUAUAUAUUUUGAAUACGCUAAAUUAAGAAUAUAUACCUAUAGAGAAUGCAUUCUGAAUAAUGAACAUGAUUUUGUUGUAUAAUUAUCCAUUUAUAUUGUCUUUAAUCAAAACAAUAUGAAUACUAAAAACUAUAUGCUGUGUGUUCCUGUGGAUUAAAACAGUUAGUUGACCUUAAAGUGACUAGACACCAGGUGAUACAAUUGCAGGAAGAACAUAAAAAUGUAGCCGUAUGAAUCUUGUAGAUGCUAGGCGGAAGAGAUGCGUUCCGGGUACGAAACGCCCUGUCUGGAUCAGCUAGAAAUCUCAAGCAGCAUUGGAAGGCGUAGUGCGUCAAUGAUUGAAAUGAAUUUUGUUAUCAUAAAUGUCAGUUAAUCAGUCUACACAUGCAUUUAUAAUCUCUAAAAACUCUAAAAGUUUUAAGCUAGGUUUGUUACUUUUGUACCA